AGGUCGCACGUUAAACUAAAAUAUUUAUAAACGCUUGGGAAAAUGUUAAAACUUAUCUCUCUUCUUGUAUUUUUUGUCAUAGUCCAGGGACACAAUGGUAAAAUUCAAAACGAUGCGGAUAUUCAAUCGGCCUUGAUGCCACAGGAAUUGAACCCGGCGUUUAAUCCUGAUAAGGAUUCCCCAUGGAAAGCCAUCAUACCAAUAAGACAUAGACGCGACAUCGAACCCGACUCAAGUCUCGGAAAAUUCAAAACGUACAGUCGGGUCGUGGCGUGCGUCGUGCUGGCAAUUUCAGCGAUUAUAGAAAUCGUUGUAUAUUUCAUUGAAAUGUAUUCUAU